rnacentral:misc_RNA from 1 species
UCUCCGUUGGUGAACCAGCGGAGGGAUCAUUACAGGACUCGCAAGACUCCUACAACCCUGUGAACUUAACUAUAAGCACGUUGCUUCGGCGGGUGUCUCGGAGGGGGUUAUCCCUCCCCAAUACGCUAAACCCGCCGGCAGCCUACUAUACUCUGUCUCUUUGCGUUGGCAUCUCGAGUACAAUCAAACAAGUUAAAACUUUCAACAACGGAUCUCUUGGUUCUG